AUACGUAGGGUGCAAGCGUUAUCCGGAUUUACUGGGUGUAAAGGGAGCGCAGACGGCAGUGCAAGUCUGAAGUGGAAGCCCGGGGCUCAACCCCGGGACUGCUUUGGAAACUGUUCUGCUAGAGUACUGGAAGGGCAAGCGGAAUUCCUGGUGUAGCGGUGAAAUGCGUAGAUAUCAGGAGGAACACCGGUGGCGAAGGCGGCUUGCUGGACAGCAACUGACGUUGAGGCUCGAGAGCGUGGGGAGCAAACAGGAUUAGAUACCCUGGUAGUCCACGCUGUAAACGACGAAUACUAGGUGUUGGAAGACUAAGUCUUUCAGUGCCGUCGCAAACGCAGUAAGUAUUCCACCUGGGGAGUACGUUCGCAAGAAUGAAACUCAAAUGAAUUGGCGGGG
rnacentral:rRNA from 1 species